rnacentral:lncRNA from 1 species
CAAACCGCUGCAGUCCAGCAGGCCAGCCCCAGUGUGGGGGUGGGGCUCAGCUCUCCUCUGGCUACAGAGGAAGGGGGUGACACCCAUUUCUCAGGCUGAGCAGCAGCAGCAGCAGCAGCAGCAGCAGCAGCAGCAGCAGCAGCAGCAGCAGCAGCAGCGAGAGCCAACCGCCCCGCCCCCCAACGCAGCCCAGCCAUCUGCAGCGCUAGGUUUGUGACUGAGCCCUCGGCAAGCUGCGGGGCCUGAGGCUGUCAGACAGCAGAUUCUCAUCCCGCCUUCUGAGGUGUUGAGGAAACACGAGAUGCACCACCAACCCACACCACGGUGACGUACUUGGCUCUGCCAUAUGCCAGCCUUGGGGUGCUCGAGUCUGCCCGCCCUGGGUGCGGGUACCCACCUUCCAGAUGGGAGGAUGUGAUACCUGCAGGGCAGCCAGAGAUGGGUGGGGGGAGAACAGGGGUGUUUUCUCCUGCCACCGACUCCAGGAGCGUGGGCUCCCUGGGCCCUGGCGGGGAAGGCAGCAGGGAGCUUCCUGUGCCCAGAGGGGGACUCAUCCAGCUGCCGAACAUCUGCAGGGCCAACCAGCUCUGGGGCACAUGUGUCCAGGGCAUGCCGCGAAGGAGAUGCUGACUUGGCAUGGCUGCAGCCAGAGAAGUCUUUGGCAAGAUUAUCUGACUGCCUGGAAAGAAACCACUCAGAAGCAGGAGAUUUAGCACACGUGACCCACAGCCAGAAAAACAUCCAGGCCCCAGGUGAGCUGAGAGGGACCCAGGAACCUGGGGAACUGCCCUUCCUUCCUGCCCCACCCCCGCCCCCCAUGCCUCCCUGUGAAUCCUCCUUGAUGCCCUCCGCGCUCCAUUUUCCUGCCUUACCCUGCAGAUCAGCUUUCCUCGCUUGCUCAUCAACACAUGUUCCUAAAAUAGCUGCUCCAGCCUCCCCCUCCUGUCUUCCCUGCCUGACCUUCAGCUCCAGGCCCUGCCCCAGACUGAUUCCCAGGCUCUAGCCCCCUUAGUGCCAAAAGUCUUAAGAGAGAGGAUCUGAUUGGUUAUUGAUCAUCCAAUGAUUUGUCUCCUGUUGGGUCAGGUGUCCACCUCCCAUCCAAUUGUCUGAGGGUAGCAGGCGGGGGU